CAGACAAAAAAACCCCCAAAGCUCAGAGCACAGAAGUGAUCUGCCCAGCACAGGGUUUAAGCGGGGCCCUCUCCCCCUCAGGGUGCCGGGGCUGUUUUUGACCUGCUUGCCCUGGACCAGCCUCUUCAUGUGACAAGUACUGGUUUCUUACAUGUCACAGGAAGCUGAACUGAGUUCCAGGGCAGAGUCCAGCAGAGUGUGGGUCUCAUUGUGUGGCUGUGUGACAGAGGACCCAGGACCUGUCCACUUGAGCAAAACUGAGGGGACUGGGAUAAAGCAAAGCUUGGACGGGACAGAGGGGACCCUACAGGCUGUCUGCCCCAGGUCUGAGGCAGGACUCAGCCGUGAGGGUGACAGGAUGGACGCCUGGCCCUGUGGUGUCCACACGGCUGCUCUCACAAGUGAUCAGGGCUGAGUCUGCCCCUGCCCCUGCCCCAUGCCCAGAAGCUGUCACGCAACCCCACUUCCAGCCCAAGUGGACACUUCAAGAAACCUGCCUUUGCCUCGCCCACUUGCCCCGGGAAUUGUUUACUUGUUUCAGAUAAAUCCUCAGUCCACCCAGUGCAGAAUGAAAUGAAAUUUGGUAAGUGAUGCAGCACAGCCCAACCUAUAAUUCCAACUCCAGAGAUUAAUUAAACCAGACACUGUAAUUAGAUCGGCCAGCCAGCUGGUUUGUGUACAAGCAGCCCCGCCUUAUAAACACCCAACUGACGUACAGUUUGCACUUAUGAACAGAGGCUAUUACAGGUAAUAGGUAACGUACCUGUGUACAUACAAACUCAAGAAACAGCCCACAGACCUAUCUCAUUCGUGACUGGGCACUGCCUGUAUGUCUUUUUAAAAUCUUGUGCUGGAGAGAACAGCAACAGCACCAGCUGUUCCUUCAUCCUCUAGAUGCCGAACUGGGCUGGGCAGGAACUGUUCUCCCUGUCCAACAAGUGCAAACACAACCCUGGGGGUGCACCAGCCUCCAGACCUGCGUGUGGAGGAGGCCGACCUGGAAACGUCAGCACAGACAUUUGUAUCCCAAGCCUUUGACCUCCAACAGCGGGAUAAAGAAAUAGCACAGACAUACCCUGCCCGCCCUGUAACCUCCCAGCCAGCCAGGAGGUUCUAACUAGGGAACAGUCAUUGGCAAUUCACUGUUUAUGGACAUCAUAAAACAGACAUUCAGCACAAGGACUACAUUUCCUUUAUAGCCCAGGAGCACAAUAAAGUUAAAUGAUUCACAGUGA